rnacentral:rRNA from 1 species
GAUGAACGCUGGCGGCGUGCCUAAUACAUGCAAGUCGAGCGAACAGACGAGGAGCUUGCUCCUCUGACGUUAGCGGCGGACGGGUGAGUAACACGUGGAUAACCUACCUAUAAGACUGGGAUAACUUCGGGAAACCGGAGCUAAUACCGGAUAAUAUAUUGAACCGCAUGGUUCAAUAGUGAAAGACGGUUUUGCUGUCACUUAUAGAUGGAUCCGCGCCGCAUUAGCUAGUUGGUAAGGUAACGGCUUACCAAGGCAACGAUGCGUAGCCGACCUGAGAGAGUGAUCGGCCACACUGGAACUGAGACACGGUCCAGACUCCUACGGGAGGCAGCAGUAGGGAAUCUUCCGCAAUGGGCGAAAGCCUGACGGAGCAACGCCGCGUGAGUGAUGAAGGUCUUCGGAUCGUAAAACUCUGAUAUUAGGGAAGAACAAAAGUGUAAGUAACUAUGCACGUCUUGACGGUACCUAAUCAGAAAGCCACGGCUAACUACGUG